rnacentral:rRNA from 1 species
AACGAACGCUGGCGGCAUGCCUAACACAUGCAAGUCGAACGAAGGCUUCGGCCUUAGUGGCGCACGGGUGCGUAACGCGUGGGAAUCUGCCCUUUGGUUCGGAAUAACAGCUGGAAACGGCUGCUAAUACCGGAUGAUGACGAAAGUCCAAAGAUUUAUCGCCAGAGGAUGAGCCCGCGUUGGAUUAGGUAGUUGGUGGGGUAAAGGCCUACCAAGCCGACGAUCCAUAGCUGGUCUGAGAGGAUGAUCAGCCACACUGGGACUGAGACACGGCCCAGACUCCUACGGGAGGCAGCAGUGGGGAAUAUUGGACAAUGGGCGCAAGCCUGAUCCAGCAAUGCCGCGUGAGUGAUGAAGGCCCUAGGGUUGUAAAGCUCUUUUACCCGGGAAGAUAAUGACUGUACCGGGAGAAUAAGCCCUGGCUAACUCCGUG